rnacentral:rRNA from 1 species
GGCCUAACACAUGCAAGUCGAACGGUAACAGGAAGAAGCUUGCUUCUUUGCUGACGAGUGGCGGACGGGUGAGUAAUGUCUGGGAAACUGCCUGAUGGAGGGGGAUAACUACUGGAAACGGUAGCUAAUACCGCAUAACGUCGCAAGACCAAAGAGGGGGACCUUCGGGCCUCUUGCCAUCGGAUGUGCCCAGAUGGGAUUAGCUAGUAGGUGGGGUAACGGCUCACCUAGGCGACGAUCCCUAGCUGGUCUGAGAGGAUGACCAGCCACACUGGAACUGAGACACGGUCCAGACUCCUACGGGAGGCAGCAGUGGGGAAUAUUGCACAAUGGGCGCAAGCCUGAUGCAGCCAUGCCGCGUGUAUGAAGAAGGCCUUCGGGUUGUAAAGUACUUUCAGCGGGGAGGAAGGGAGUAAAGUUAAUACCUUUGCUCAUUGACGUUACCCGCAGAAGAAGCACCGGCUAACUCCGUGCCAGCAGCCGCGGUAAUACGGAGGGUGCAAGCGUUAAUCGGAAUUACUGGGCGUAAAGCGCACGCAGGCGGUUUGUUAAGUCAGAUGUGAAAUCCCCGGGCUCAACCUGGGAACUGCAUCUGAUACUGGCAAGCUUGAGUCUCGUAGAGGGGGGUAGAAUUCCAGGUGUAGCGGUGAAAUGCGUAGAGAUCUGGAGGAAUACCGGUGGCGAAGGCGGCCCCCUGGAC